rnacentral:rRNA from 1 species
UACGUAGGCAGCAAGCGUUGUUCGGAGUUACUGGGCGUAAAGGGUGUGUAGGCGGUUCUUUAAGUUUGGUGUGAAAUCUCCCGGCUCAACCGGGAGGGUGCGCCGAAUACUGAGGGACUAGAGUGUGGGAGAGGAAAGUGGAAUUCCUGGUGUAGCGGUGAAAUGCGUAGAUAUCAGGAGGAACACCGGUGGUGUAGACGGCUUUCUGGACCAUAACUGACGCUGAGACACGAAAGCGUGGGUAGCAAAAGGG